GUUAAUUUUGAGGUGCUAAAAUAGCACCAGCGUAGGUGCCAAAUCAACACAUUGCAGUGGUGUUAAAUAGAAAGUGCUAUUUUGACACCAAUUUCGGUGCUAAUUUAACACCACCAAAUCUGACAUUACGCUAAAAGUGCCAAUAUGACACCUUAUAAUUUCAGCACCUUUGCAAGGUGCUGAAAUAGCACCUAUUUCGCAGACGGAAAGUGCUAAAAUAACGCCAGAUUGAGGGUUAAAGUAUGGGGUGUCAAAAUAACACUAAAUGGCGGUAGAGAAUUUUCGACUUUAUUACAAAGUCAUCUUCAGACAGAAUGGAUAGGGAAAGAGCGGUUAUUUAAGUUAUUGGAAAAUAAAUCUGUAUUUUCGAAUCAAUGUUUUAGAACAGGAAAUUCCUGUGCGUUUUCGCACAACUAUUCAUCUGAGUGAUCUGACGACAUGGAAAAAAACCAAUAGAGACGAAUACUAGACAAAUGGUACAUCGAUAGUGAUGCAUUGUCCUUUUCAUUUCAUCAAACUGUGUUAUUCCGUGCUAUAUUUUCGGACUGCUUAUGUAUUGAUUGCUACAAAGUAUUUAUUUCGCAAUCGCCUGAUAUGUAUGUCCAUAUAAGGAACAAAAUAUAACACGUGAUCAGCGCCUGUAUGCAAAUUGCCAAAUUUUGAGCGCGUCGUUUGAAAACUCUUUUGAAUCGUAUUUCAUACUGCCGUGUUAAAGACGUUUUGAGCGUAUUUCUUAACUAUUUUGGUACUUCUAAAUAUGCUGAACAGCAACGGACUCACAUAAGGAAAUAUCAAGACAAUUGGCUAUGAUAUUAUCUCAGAAAUAUCUUGAGAAGCCAAAUGAAUUCUACUUAUAAUACUGCGAUGAUCUCUUUAGCAAUCUGGGUCAAAGAAAAUAUCAUUGCAAUAAUAGUUUUCACCAAGAUUGAAUGAAGGCCUCAAAUGUGGCAGAUUAAGGGGAAACUGUAAUUCUAAUGAUAUGACAAGGAAAUAUCCCUUCCUUGCUGACUCAAUUGUGGUUGUGGAACAGGUUCAUGGACCAUAACAAGGCCAAGGGUAGAAACAAUUUUUGAAGAAUAUCCUGCACUUCAGCUUAUAUUACAGAGAUCAGGACCCAAGGCUAAUUCGUUCAGAAGACCUUUCAGAUGUUCAAACUUUGAUGAUUGCGGUGGAGGGGCAAAUGUUAACUUAUCAAAGAACAGACUCAACUUCAUUUUAUCUACUAAACAUGGAGUACAUUGCUGGUGUGGCAAAUGUGUGUGCAUUCUUGGAAACUGCUCUCGUCGGGAAGCCUUAGGACAAAAACUUUUGAAGGACGUUAAGUACCGUAAACAUUUUAAAAAUUCUUGUAGCUACGUAGAUUUUCCAGUCACAGCAUAUGAAGAAAUAAAUAUUUUUUAAUCGCAUUUGGUCUACUUCGUAUGAUUAUAGCUUAUGCUAUUUAGUCGCUCCAUUGCUAGCGCUAAAAGUGCAAAAACUAAUCCACACAAACUUCAGGUGUUAGAUUAACACCAAAAGUAGGCGUCAAACUAGCACCAAAGAUCGUGCUAAUUUGACACCUUAUUUCGCGGUGUCAAUUUAGCACCCGAUAUGGUGUUAUUCUGUACCUUUUUAUUUGACACCUUUUUUGGUGUCAAUAUGACACCGCAAAAUUAACAGUGUACAGUACA
rnacentral:lncRNA from 1 species